rnacentral:lncRNA from 10 species
CAUUUCCCCCAGCUAGCAGGCCUAGCCUACAGAGGAGGGCAUCAUGCAGCUCGCUUUGCCUGGCUCUCUGAACAUCCCAUGGCCUCAACCCAGGGGUCCAUGCAGGCUGCGAGCUAUGACCUGUACAGUGCCUAUGAUGACACAAUACCACAUACAGAGAAAGCUUUUGUGAAAAUGGACACUCAGAUAGCCCUUCCUUCUGGAUGUUAUGGAAGAGUGGCUCCAUGGUCUGGUUUGGCUGCAAAACACUUUCUAGAUGUAGGAACUCGUGUCAGAGAGAAAGAUUAUAGCGUAAAUGUUGAUGGUAUAAUGUUUAAUUUUGGCAAAAAAAAAGAAGAAAAAGUUUGAAGUCAAGAAAGGUGAUCAAAUUGCAUAGCUCAUUUGUGAACUACAUUUUUUUUUAACUAGAAAUAGAAGAAGUUUAAGAUUUGGAUGACACUGAAAGGGGUUCAGGAGGCUUUGGUUCCACUAGAAAGAAU